rnacentral:rRNA from 1 species
AGCUGGAAUCGCUAGUAAUCGCGGAUCAGAAUGCCGCGGUGAAUACGUUCCCGGGUCUUGUACACACCGCCCGUCACACCAUGGGAGGUCGGAAAUGCCCGAAGCCGGUGACCUAACCUUUCAGGAAGGAGCCGUCGAAGGCAGGUCUGAUAACUGGGGUGAAGUCGUAACAAGGUAGC